AGCUAACGUUGGCGGCGUGCCUAACACAUGCAAGUCGAACGCGUUCCGGGGCAACCCGGGAUGAGUGGCGAAUGGGUGAGUAACACGUGGGUGAUCUCCCUCCGAGUGGGGAAUAAGCUCCCGAAAGGGGGUCUAAUACCGCAUGACGCGCCGGAAAAUAAUUUCCGGCGUUAAAGCCGCAAGGCGCUUGGAGACGAGCCUGCGUCCUAUUAGCUAGUUGGUAGGGUAAUGGCCUACCAAGGCUGAGAUGGGUAGCCGGCCUGAGAGGGUGAACGGCCACACUGGGACUGAGAUACGGCCCAGACUCCUACGGGUGGCAG
rnacentral:rRNA from 1 species